rnacentral:misc_RNA from 1 species
AAGAACCUAAUGGAUCGAACUCAUACAUCAAAGCACCAGCUAUAGCUAUUCAACUAUCGGCCUUGCGUUGCAGAAGGAGCGUUCUAUUCUGUUUUGAAUUGGAGGCAAGAGCUCUUUCUUCAAUAAAGGUUUGGAACAGUUCAAUGGCAGAUCUCCCUCUCUGGCAGGUACGGCAUUCAGCUUGUGGAUCGAAUCGGGUGAAUAGAGAAAGGUAGUUUCAGUGAUCCUCUGGUUCAAGCCUAAUUCCAAUCGAGGUUGCCAGAAAUCCGCUAGUUGCCUUAAAAGCAUGAAAUUCAGUCAGCCUUGAUUUGACAUUCAGGUAAGGAUAUCGUGGAUAAGCUCUUGCUCUUAGAGAAUCUACUCUUUGAUGCGCAGAAGACGGAGUGAGCUAGACUAAUGGCAUGAGAACUUCCUUUCCUCGAGAAAGCAGGUUCCUUCUUUUAGCCUUAGUGAACCAAGUUCCGUGAUCCAAUCAACCUGAAUCGGACAGAAGAAACUCUAACUCGAAGGAGGGAAUCAACUCUCACGAGAAGGAAGGGCAUGAUUCAGAAGAUAGUGAAUCCGGUGUGGAAUCGAACUCUCACUCCCAUCUUACGAACAUUUUCCGAAUUCGCUGCAAGCGAAUGCCUGAGUCAUGGGACAUUCCAAUCUGAAGAAAGGUUCUUCGGAGCGGGCAAGGCAUGGUCUUUAGCCAAUCGAGAUGUUUGUAAGUCAAGACGGAAUCCAGUAAAGUCAAUCUGUACUUCCUAAGCUAUUCAUUCAAGUAGGGAAUCAGAGUCAGCUUUGGCAUAAAGGAAUCUCUGUCUUGGGACUUACCCAAAUGAACUGCCUUAGGAAUAGAAGCGAUGCAGGAUGGGAAAUUCAAAAGUCUGCAGUAAUCAGUAGUUGGCCGGUCCCAGUCUCAGUCGAAGGAUAGGAGCCAGUGAAGUGAUCCGUUAUGGGAAAGGAAAGUCUAAAGUAGAGCGUGAAGCUGUUCCCCUAAGGCGAGUCAAACUGGUAUCUUAUUUUACGUAAUAUCGGGUGUUAGAACGGAUUCUCCUUUAUUAGCUAGUCGAAAAUGGUUCAUCUGGACUUGCAUCCUAUGAAGUAUUAAAUGAAUGAAGGAAGCCAAGCAUUGAAUGACUUAUGAAGAGAAGCAUGCCUGGCGCUUUCUAG